rnacentral:rRNA from 1 species
UGGGGAAUAUUGCACAAUGGGGGAAACCCUGAUGCAGCGACGCCGCGUGAGCGAAGAAGUAUUUCGGUAUGUAAAGCUCUAUCAGCAGGGAAGAUAAUGACGGUACCUGACUAAGAAGCUCCGGCUAAAUACGUGCCAGUAGCCGCGGUAAUACGUAUGGAGCAAGCGUUAUCCGGAUUUACUGGGUGUAAAGGGAGCGUAGGCGGCAUGGCAAGUCUGAUGUGAAAUCCCCGGGGGCUCAACCCGAGCUCAUUGGAAACUGUCGGCUGGAGUGUCGGAGAGGUAAGUGGAAUUCCUAGUGUAGCGGUGAAAUGCGUAGAUAUUAGGAGGAACACCAGUGGCGAAGGCGGCUUACUGGACGACAACUGACGCUGAGGCUCGAAAGCGUGGGGAGCAAACAGGAUUAGAUACC